AGGGGCUUUCUAGAAACCCUCUUUCUUACUGCUCUAUUCUCCAACCAACAGUGAGAAGGCUUUUUUAGUUCUUUUGGUUGCCAAAUUCUCAGGAAGAAGAAUUUAAUAUCCGGUUGUUUUUCUUGUGAAGAUUAGGAUAAGUGAGGAUCCUUCCUUUGUCUCCACAUAGAGUUAUAGAUAAGGAAGAGAAGGACAAGGUGACAACUGAACAAGUCGACGAACAUCAUGGGAAAGAAGUGAAGCAAAUGUUUCUCUAUGGUUUGAUUUCUAAUGAUUUUAAUCUUCUUUCUACAACUUUGGUGAGUUUAAAGUAAUUGCAAAGGUCUGUCAAGAUUUCGUUUUUAACAUACAUGCCUUUUAUGUUACUCAUUAUGAGAUUUUGAAGCAUGUUGAGAUGAACGUUUGAUUUUGAAAGUAGAUGGAAAGUAGUAUAAUACCUAUGCAGUUAAGAAGGUUGAGAAAUGUAUGAAUGGGCACAAUGACCCAAUGUUCCCCGGGGAAAAGCUCCAUAUGUGGGUUGCAAGAAUGAGUUAUCAAGUGAUAAAUACGUGUGAUAUGUAUAUUGGCCAGGUAUAUUAUGGAUCUUUCCAAUCUGCUAGUCACUUGUUUGGGUUAAAAGAAAAUCUUCAUGAUUAGUUAUGCUAUUGUUUCUUUAAAUGAUAAUGGCUAUGUUGUCCUUAUGACAAAAGAAGUGCUUUUGAACUGUGUGUUGUACCGUGUUGCUAUCAAAACUAUUAAUGCUCUGAAACUUUGGUUUUCCUACCAUAUGUUACUUCCAAGCAUUUUUUAGCAUAAUUUUGUUGUUGGAUUACAUAGUAGUGGAUGUAAAUGGUUUUGAAUCACUCUUAUCAUUUCUCGGCAUGCACAGAAAUUUUAAAUGACUACGGACUUACCGAAAAAACCUACUAGGCAUUUUAUGCUCACCUGUUUUUCUAAAAAUGUAUUUUCAAGUGGUGUAGGGUUAACUAGCUGAAUUUUGAGUUGCAGCUCUAGUGUGGACUAGUAGAAGGGAGUCCAGACGUAUAUCUUUGGGGUGAGCUGCCAAAGUAUUUGUAUAGUUAGUCUUAAUCUGUAAAUGAUCCUUUUGUUGCGUAGUAGACUAAGAAGACGUAGGCCUCAAUGGGUUAGUGUUUCUACUUACCUGGGCAAUGAAAACCAUGUAUUUAUGAUCACUUGUCUUUUGGCUUGUAUAAAUUAUGCUCAUGUGCACUUUCAUCUAAUGACCUAAACGUGUUUUUCUUGUACGCAAGAAGCCUUGAAGUUCUUUCGUGAACUCUUUAUGAUCUGUAAGGCUUAACGAAUUGCCUUUGAAAGACCAUUAUGGACUUGGUUGUAUUUAAAUUUGGGGGUGUUUAUUUACUACUUAGGUUGCAUCUUGCAAAAUUUCAAAUUUUUACCCUUUGGAACAUAACUUUAUUUCCAAAGUGACUUGAUACUGCUGAAAUUUGUUUUUUUUAAAAAAAAAAAAAAACAGCAGCAUGCCUGUUUUAGAUUUAAAUUUUCCUAUACUUCCCGAACUCGAAAAUCCAUGAAAUCUUUAACACAACUUAGUUUUAUGUGUCUACUUUGGAUCUGGAAAUUUUCAUAUUUUUUGGUUAAACAAGUUAUUUUCAAUGAAUUUUACGGUACAGGUCGUUUCUACAGUUUGUAUUACCACAAUAAAUCUUUGACUAAAUCUUAAGCUAAUAUUUGUUUUACACCCUUAAACAACCACUUUGUUCUAUUUAUUUCUCUUAAUUUCACACCUCGAGAUUUAAGGUGUGAUACAGGAUCCGUUGGAUCCAUUCCCAACAUACGGUUAAUGCUUUUUGGUUUCUUUAUUUUGUAUUGUUUGAUAAUGCUUGGACUGUUCGAAAAUGUUGGGGACCUGAAAUUGUUUGUACUUUGUAAUUUUGGAUCUAUAUUUCCUAUUUUUAAACUGCUUUGUUCGAAAAUGGUGGGGAACUGAAAAUUGCUUGUUGUUGUCAGUUAAUGGAGGACUUUUGUCUUUGUUUAAUUAUGUUGGAAAAAAGAUUGUGGGUUAUGUAAGUUUGGCAGUGCUUUGUUUAUACCCUUAUCUGUGCCUUUUGUGUAUGAUGCUUUAUUUAUGCCUUUAUCUGUGCCUUUAGCUAUGCCUUUAUUUGGGACACUACAUUGUCAUUUGUGGUGUGCCUUUAUCUGUGAAUUGUUUUGUGGUCCUGGGUCCUAAAUUUUGAGUUUCAUCACUUUAAAAUAGGAUUUUUUUUAUGCAGAAAUUUGGGUUUCAUCAAUUUAUAACAGGGUUUUUUUAUGCUGCAAUUUCAAGGAACAAUGAACUAUUCAUAAUCAAAAUAUAUCAUGGUGGAGAACUCAGUGACGACUUCUAUGUUGGAGGGAAGGUGGAUUUCUUUGACUUCUGUGCCAAAGAUUUCAUGCCAUUGGUCGAAGUUGACAAUAUGGUUGAGGAACUAGGAUAUGGAAAUGUCAUCAUGAGUUACUAGUAUAAGAUCCCAAGGAUGGAAAUUCGAAAUGGGUUGAAGCCUUUGAUGACAAAUUUCAAUGUUAUCAACAUGUGCAAAUUUGUGCCAAACCACACUGUGAUUGAUGUGUAUAUUGAGAAGACAACAACUGAAUAAUGUGCCUCUUAAGAGAUGGAGUUUAUUGAGUCAUUUGAACCAGUUGAUCAAAGUUGUGUAGUUAUUGAAGAAAUUAAUGGUGAUGAGGAUGACCAGUGCAAGUUAAUAGAGGAAAUGCCAGUGCAAGUGAAUAGAGGAAAGGCUAAGCUAGCCUUAGAAUAUCCAGUUAGUGGCCUUGGUGGUGAUUUUAGUGUGCCUUCCCAAUGUGUGACUUAAACUGUUGGAGUGGCUGAAGAUCCACUAAUGUGGUUGCUAAUGAAAUAGUUAGUGAUGAUUUUGUGGCUGACGAAGGAAUGGGUGAAGGAGUGCCUAAUGAAAUGUGGCUGAUAAAGGAGUGCCUGAUGAAAAGGUGAAGGAUGAAGGAGUGGAUGAUGAAGGAAUGCCUGAUGAAAAGGUAGCUGAUAAAGGAAUGGAUGAUGAAGGGGUGGAUGAUGAAGAAAUGGCUGAUGUGAGUGAUGAAUGAGUUGAAGAAGAAGAUGAGAAUGAUAGUGACUUUAUAAAAAAAAGAAUUUCCUGCUGAUGAAGAUCACUUAGAGUUUAUGAAGUUUGUAGAUGAUCAUGUGGAUGCACAUGAGGAUGCAAUAUUGGUUGGCAUUAGGGAACAAAAUAACCCACAGUUAGGGGAGGGAUCUCGGCAAUAAAGGGAAGGAUUUGAAGAAAAGAUUGAUGUAAAUGUUGUUGGUAAGCCAGAUUACAAUUCGGAUGGCCUUCAUAGUGUGGAUGAAGAUGAAGACGGUGGUCCAAGCAAUAAUGAGCAGUAUCUUGAGUUUAAUGAGAAGACUGACAUGAAGAACCCACAAUUGCCAUUAGGGUUGAUAUUUAGGGAUGCUACACAGCUCAAAAAAGCAGUAGGUAUGCAUUCUAUAAUAAAUGGGUAUGUGGAUGUCCAUUUUCCAUGAAAUGAAAAGUUCAAGGUUGAUGCAGCUUGCCAAGAAGGUUGUUCGUGGUUUGUCAAGUGUGGGAAGAUGUGCAAUUCAAACAACAUGCAGAUCAAGAAGAUUUUAGAUCAUCACACAUAUGGUAGAUUAUGGAUGAAUAGGAAUAUGAAAUAGUCUUAUUGAGCAGUACUUGGAAAGGAUCCAACUUAAUCCAACAUGGCAUGUUGAUUCUUUUAUGAACAUCAUUGAAGCUGAAUGGAAACACGGUUGCUCGAAGAUGAAAGCUCAUAGGGCAAUGACUGGUGCUAUGAAGAUUAUUGAGGGUAAACAUGCUGAGCAAUACACAAAAUUGUGGGAUUUUGCUGAGGAAAUCAAUAAGACAAACCCAGUGAGCACUAUGAAAAUUAUGUUGGAUGAAGGAAGGUUUUAAAUGAUGUAUGUGUGUUUGGGUGCAUGCAAGGAAGGUUUCAAGUAUGGUUGCAGAACCUUGAUUGGUUUAGAUAGUUGUCAUUUGAAGUCUCAGCAUGUCGAUCAAUUGUUAGUUGUUGUGCGGAUAGAUCUCAAUAAUGAAACUUGGGUGAUAGCUUACCAGUUAUUGAGAUGGAGAACAAAGAUUCCUAGAUUUCGUUCUUGGAGAUUCAGGCUGAGGAUAUUGGGAUUAUAAAUUAGUAUGGUUGGACAUUCAUUAGUGACAAGCAAAAUGGUUUAAUUCCUGCAUUCUUGACGAUUCUUCCAGAUUGUCACCACAGGAUGUCGUCAGACAUACCGGGCAUGCCAUACAAAUUCCAGGACUCCGUCGGCCAUGUCAGUCCAAACCUUGAAUCAAAUGCUGGGUGAUUCAAUUUGGGUCCUAUUUGCGUGUUUCUUUUAGGAAUCUGGUGGUUCAGCUCAGUUGACAAUAUGAUAGUUGCUGAUUGCGUUAAAUAUGUAUAGCAGCUUAAGGAAAUGUUCAACUGUGGGUUUAGAAAUAAAGCGAUUUUCUAGCAAA